rnacentral:tRNA from 2 species
AGACCCGUAGCUCAGUUGGUUAGAGCGCUGCCUUGACAUGGCAGAGGUCAGCAGUUCAAAUCUGCUCGGGUCUA